AAUCGUAGCCCGGCGCGAGGCCUUGAACAGGAUAUUAAGUGGAAAUAAUGCUGUGGUUGUCAGGAAACGCCGAGUGCAGCCGCAUAGCUACUGCCAGUUGUGCAGCGAGGAUAUCCGGUGGCUGCGAGGUCUGUAAUUUAGAAUAAAAAGCUCUCCCAACACCCAAGAGGCUGACCUCAGCGCCGCGUGGCGGUAAUGCGCGCGGCACCCACGGUGGAGACCGUCCAAGUGGUGACAGGUGGGAGAGCUUCGUCGUCGCUUAGACCUUCAGAGACCCUGCAAAUGUGCCCACCUUCGGAAUCAAACUGCAAAAGUGAGCCAGUCAACUCAAUUGCAGUUGAAGUGUGUGGUCGCCUGCCCAUUUCCAACGUUCAUAAGCAGUUCUAGACUACGUGGUCACAUAGCAGCAGGUCAGAUGCUGGAGAAGGACAAACUGAACGACGGACACUCUCUUCCCAACACGAGACUGGGAACCUAAUCUCGCUGUCUGGAUGUAACUCUAAAUGUGGUUAAGCCAUCUGAUUUCUUUGCCAGGCUUAACAUUUGACAAAAGCAGACGUCCACAUGAAAAAGUCACUUUGCUUUGCCUAACUUGAA